rnacentral:sRNA from 1 species
GUGGACCACGCGUGCAUUGCGGUGCUGAGCGCGCCGCCCGCACCAUCUGACGGCCGCUCGCUACGCGUUGGGAGUC